rnacentral:rRNA from 1 species
CCUACGGGUGUCAGCAGUGGGGAAUAUUGCGCAUUGGGCGAAAGCCUGACGCAGCGACGCCGCGUGAGGGAUGAAGGUCUUCGGAUCGUAAACCUCUGUCAGCAGGGAAGCACGGUCACUGUGCUAAUCAGCAGUGAAUUGACGGUACCUGCAAAGGAAGCACCGGCUAACACCGUGCCAGCAGCCGCGAUAAUACGGAGGGUGCGAGCGUUAAUCGGAAUUACUGGGCUGAACGGGCUCGUAGGCGGUAUGUCAAGUCAAGGGUGAAAUCCCCGCGCGAAACGUCGGAACUGCCGUUGAAACUGGCAAACUGGAGUGUGUGAGAGGAUAGUGGAAGUCCAGGGGUAGGAGUGAAAUCCGUAGAUAUCUGGAGGAACAUCAGUGGCGAAGGCGACUAUCUGGCACAUAACUGACGCUGAGGAGCGAAAGCGUGGGUAGCAAACAGGAUUAGAUACCCUAGUAGUC